CAGUCUUACCUGCGGACAAUCAGCUUUUUGAGUGUGAUUAUGUGGAUUGUGAGGAGUUUAAUCACCCUCAUGGUUUGCAUAUUCGUGCUCUUGGGUGUAUUUGCCCGUGUGGUAGGUUAACAUCAAUUUCGGAUGUCAUAAAAUGAUUGGAGGAAUGUAGCUUUGAUCUCGUAUUGAAGUGUUAUAGUUCUUCGGCAGAUGUGAUGAUCGGGAUUGAGG
rnacentral:rRNA from 1 species